GGGGGGAGCAAGCGUUGUUCGGAUUUACUGGGCGUAAAGGGCGCGUAGGCGGCCACCGCAAGUCGACUGUGAAAUCUCCGGGCUUAACUCGGAAAGGUCAGCCGAUACUGCGGGGCUAGAGUGCAGAAGGGGCAACUGGAAUUCUCGGUGUAGCGGUGAAAUGCGUAGAUAUCGAGAGGAACACCUGCGGCGAAGGCGGGUUGCUGGGCUGACACUGACGCUGAUUGUGCGAAAGCUAGGGGAGCGAACGGGAUUAGAUACCCCGGUAGUCCUAGCCUUAAACGAUGAAUGCUUGGUGUCUGGGGUUUUAUAGUCCCCGGGUGCCGCCGCUAACGCUUUAAGCAUUCCGCCUGGGGAGUACGGUCGCAAGACUG
rnacentral:rRNA from 1 species